ACUUUACAAGUCAUCUCCAAACAUGCAGAAGACGAUAAAUCAUAUUUGUCGGAAGCAAAAUGUUAAAUAAGGGAAGGAGGAAAGAAGUUUCCAGGUUAAAAAAGUAAGUAAAGGUUUCCCACUUUACACGACCUAUAAAAAAUUAAAAUUUGCAAUAUUCAUCAACUUAUUCAUCAAGUUUUUUCAAUCUCAAAAGUAUCGAAUUGCAAUGGUUUAGUCCUCAAGAAUGUUCUCUGCAGAAUGCUUUCCAUCGGCAGAUCAGCUGAGAUAAUUUCGUUGCUUCCACAUUUUUAUUAAAGCAAAGAUUAAUUGACUCAAACCCUCCACUUCCAGAGAAGGUUUAUGUUCAUAUAUAGACCUUCAGUUUUUGAAAAUGUUGUGGCCACUGAAGCACCUAUCAACUUGCUCUCCAGGUGGAACACUGCUGACCUCGAACAACAGCUAGGCAUAUAUAGCUACCCUUUCUUCCAUUCUUGUAACUUUAGAAAUAUUUUAUUUUAUGGCAGUUUUUUUCCAAAUACAGUUAAAAAAAGUAUCUCAAAUUUCAGUUCAACUUUUUUUUUUUUGGAUUUAAACUCCUUAAUCUCUCCCUAACUCAUAAAUAGGAGGAUAAUAUGGUUUAGCGCACCCAAAUUUACAUCUUCUUGUAUUAAUAAUAAUAUUUAUAUCAAUCAAGUUAAUACUCAAUCGGCCAGUUCAACAUAAUUUUAUUUUUGAUUAAUUUUAAAUCCAAACAUUUUAGGGAUCAAAUUUAGAAGCGUGUCAAUUGAAAUUUUGAAAUCAAGUAUUUUGUUAUUCCACCCGUAGUUAAAUCAACAUGUAAUUCAUAGUUGUUUAAUUGAACUUCUGUCCUAAUCAAAUUGAUAUCACUUUAUAUUUUAUAUUAUUUUUAUUAAAACUACUCAACGAAAUUUACAUAAGUUAUCUUUAUAUAUAUAAAAUCUACUUUUACAUAUAAUUUCUCCCCACCUUUAAAACAGAGAGAGAAAUUAUGUUUAAAUACGCUCAAACCCACAUUGAAGAGAGCAAUAAUGAGUAAAUUUUUAUUUUGAAAAUGAUUGAUUAGGUAAAAAAUCUUUUACGUUGACAACUAAUUGGAGAGAGCAAUAAUGAAAAAUUCAUUAUCAAGUUGAUUUUUGCCGAUAUUGGUGCAAACAUUAGUUAGUACGAGGACAAAUAGUUAAGCAAGAGGUGGAGCCAAUUGAGGGCAGAAAGCAAGGAAAAGAGUGACAUGUUCUUGUCUCCAUUAAUAUCUGUCAAUAUGCUUAUAUAUGCCCAAUCAGUAACGGAAGAUCCGCCCCACAAGCAUGUGCGAGGAGCCAGGGACAGCUUCCAGGAAGUUUCCUCUAUCAAAUUUAAAAUGGAGUUUGUUUCAUGCGAAUUAUGGGGGCAACAGCUAGUCCUUAAUUAAUAGCGUUGCUAAAAAACAAGGUUCUUCCAAGAUUUUCAUACUCUCCAAGAUAUCAAUGUCGUGAAUUUAUUUCAUUUAUUUUUUCCCCUUUCAUUCUUCUUUUCAGUAAGGGAAUUAUUGGUGACAUCAAUGAUAGGGAAGGGUGAUGCCAAGGGCAGUUUCCAGGAAGUUUCCUCUGCAUCUUUUGAUAAGGGCAAAUCGAAAAUUUUAGCAGAUAUCUCAUUCAUAUAUAGCUUGAAGAUUUAUUUCAUCUAUACAUUUCAUCCAACUUAAAUGGUGUAGUUGAUGCUCAAGUUGGUUUAGAUUUAGAUGUGAAAGUGGAAUCAAUUAGUCUUGUUAAUUCUACUUAUUAUUAAUUGGCCACAUUUGAGAGUUAUGCCAAUUCUUUUCUUUUUUUUUUUUAAGACUUUUGUUACUUGUGAUUUAAUGUUGUCUUUUCUUUUAAUUUUAUUUAUUUAUUCGAGUUUAACACUCAUAAACAAGUCAUUUUGAGUUAUAUAUUCUAAUUAUUUCAAUUUUAAGUUGGAUGGAUUUAAACCAUCGAAUUUCUGGACUUACAAUUUUGGGUUGAAGUGAGAGUUAAUAGACAGAUUUGAAUGGGAAGCAAAAAUUAUAUGUUGCAUACAAGAACUCCAUUAGAGACUUGUACAAUUCCUAGUUUCUUAGUCCAUAGAAUCAAGUAAAGAAAGCAAGCGCUGUCUAGGGCUAGGCUCACUAGUAAUUUGGCGGGGACAUUUACAUGGAUGCUCUUUUCAAAAUUCGAUAACAGGAAUUAAUUUCUGUUAGUUUAUCUUUAUAUAUUAAUUUAGUUAUUUUAGUUUA